GAUGAACGCUGGCGGCGUGCCUAAUACAUCCAAGUCGAGGGAAAGAACAGGAGGCUUGCUCUCCGGCGGUUGCGGGCGGAGGGGUGAGAAACACGUGGAAAACCACCUUAAAGGACUGGGAAAAUUUGGGGAACCGGGAGUAAAUACCGGAAAAUAAAUUGAACGGCAGGGUCCAUAAGUAAAAGAGGGUUUUCUUUUAACUAUUAGAUGGUUCCGCGCCGCAUUAGCUAGUGGGUAAGGUAACGGCUUACAAAGGCAACGAUGCGUAGCCGACCUGAGAGGGUGAUCGGCCACACUGGAACUGAGACACGGUCCAGACUCCUACGGGAGGCAGCAGUAGGGAAUCUUCCGCAAUGGGCGAAAGCCUGACGGAGCAACGCCGCGUGAGUGAUGAAGGUCUUCGGAUCGUAAAACUCUGUUAUUAGGGAAGAACAAAUGUGUAAGUAACUAUGCACGUCUUGACGGUACCUAAUCAGAAAGCCACGGCUAACUACGUG
rnacentral:rRNA from 1 species